CUCUGUCAUCAUCACAGCACUUGACAAGCUAAAUAAACUUCAAAUAAAUAAAGGAUGCACGUUUAAAACUGAGUGAAUUGCAGACAAUCAAUUAAAAGGAGGGACUGGAAGUAACCAGAUCUUGGGAGAACACCUGCAAGUUUCAGCCAUAUGCCAAGGGUUGCCAGAAGACAGACAGAAUCAGCAGUUCCAAGUCCUUCCCACCUCUCAGCUGUGAAUAGAAGUGAUAACCCUUCCCACUAAGAAAUGCAAAGAAGCACACGUGCCCCAUAAUCUGAAGACUUAUGGAAACACUGUGAGAUAGAGAUCCCUGAAGAGCCCCCCACAUAAAGAACUGUAGAGCUGCACUGACCAGUAGGAUGCUCCAUUUUAAAUUGCCUGGAUCAAGAAUGCAGUAGCAGUUAUAUCACUGAUGGGCAGUGAUCCAUCUGCCAGCACAUAUUUUUAUUUCAGUUGACAUUAAAUAAUAUGUCUCUAACAAAUGCUUUAUAUAAAGGGAACAACUCUGAAGUUGGAGGAUUCGCUUCAUAAUGCGUGCAUAUAAAAGACAUUUCAUCAAGAGAUGAAGAAUGCUAAAAAUAUUAAGGUAUCAUUGCAACCUUUUGACAUUUUGAUGAAAUCGAAUCAUCCAAAAACUAUAAUCAGUGCUGCAGAUAAAGAAAGCCUAAAAUUUGUUUCUAGCAAGCCAACUAUUACUGUUUUGUUUUUUUUUUUUUCAAUUAAGUAGUGGACUGUGUUUAAUCAUGAGAUAUAGUCGUGUUAUAUUCCAUGUUCUGGGUUAUGUGCAACUUUAUUUGUGAAGGUGUGUUUUGUACCAAAGGCUCUCAUACAUAGAUUAGCCCAUUUACAUAUAAAUAAGUGAAGUCUACACUGUGCCCAAAUGAAUGGUAUUAAAGACAGACUUGCCUAAAAGAAAUGUGCCUUGCUUGAUUAAACAUUCUUUUAUUUUUUAAUUCAAAAUGAUAAAUUUGCAAAUUAGCCUUAUAGGUUUUAGCUGAG
rnacentral:lncRNA from 1 species